rnacentral:sRNA from 1 species
AGUUCAAGGCGCAGUAUUUAAGCUAACGGACAAAAUAAGAAAAAACCACAUAUUUCUUUAAGGCAAAAAAUCAAAAGAAAACAAGUUUACAAGUGAGACAAAGCAUAUCUACUUGUCGUAAAAAUUCCCGAAAUUGAUUCCACGAAGGAAGUGUUACAAUAAAAAAAACAAGGUGCGUGUGUGAUUCCAGACACGUAGAUAUCAAACUCGGCAAACGAAGCUAAAGAGGCAGAAAGGUUCCUUCAAAAAAAUCCAACAACGAACGGCGGCACACAACACACAUCAAGUCGUACUGGAGCUCUGAAACGGAGCAGACACAAAGUGUAAAUCAAGCGGUUGCCAACAAAAGCAAGACAAGACAAGUCGUUGUAGCAAAGCAAAACAACAUAAGACGGAAAGAAGACAAGUGUAGACGAAAGAAAAAAAAAAAUAUUUUUUUUUGGAGAAAAAGUAAUACAAAAAUAACAAAAAAAAAAGAAGCACAAACUAUUAGCAACAACAACAAGUAUUGUUAAUAAUAAUAAUCAUAGUUUGCUUGGAAGAGAGAUCAACGUCGUCAAAGAGAGCGGAGUGUGUGACCAAACACCAACAACUAGACUACCACUAAUAUACAUGACAGCUGGCUGUUUUAAUUUUUUUUAGUGGGGUCGUUUGUCAAGCAACCAACCAAUCAAGCAACUCUAACGUCCGCCGUUUCUUCGUUCGAGAAUAAAAACUUUUAUUAACAAAAAUUUAUGGAAUUGAUUCCGCUGUGAGCGUUUAAACGGAACGGUUGUGUCUCGUGUUAAAUAGAAGAAGGCAAAGAAUAACGCAACGAAUUUGUAAAAAAAAAAACUAAAGCAAAACUAAACAAACUAAAACAAAAAAAGACAAGAAGAAAAAAACAAACAAACUAAAUACAAAGUUGAUUUUGUGUGCUAGUAAAUUUGUAAUUAGCAAAAACAAAAAAAAAAAAAAAAAAAA